GAUUUCUGGUACGGCGCACUUGGCCCGCUUCGGUUACGAGGUUGAGUGCCGGUGUGCGCCUGCCAUCCUUCUGGAGUACGUCACUCCCUUCACUGGGUUGUGUCGGAAUCCAGAUCAUUUACUUUGAAAAAAUUAGAGUGUUUAAAGCAGGCUUACGCUAUGAAUACAUUAGCAUGGAAUAAUAAUUUAGGACUUUGGUCUUAUUUUGUUGGUUUCUAGGACUAAAGUAAUGAUUGAUAGGGAUAGUUGGGGGUGCUAGUAUUCAGCGGCCAGAGGUGAAAUUCUUGGAUUCGCUGAAGACUAACUUAUGCGAAAGCAUU
rnacentral:rRNA from 1 species